ACAAGCUGCAACUACUCAAGACCUUCACUGAUGACCAGAUUUAAAUGUGUCCAAAAAUACUGAAGUACAAACUACCUAUGUCUUUUCUCCAGUAGGAUUUUACAUCACUCUGCUAAUGGUGAUUGCUUUUCAACAUCAAGCAGUGUGUUUAGCAGGUAAGCAAUAUGCUGGAGCUGGAAAGUUAAGGACUGCUAUCUGCUGAAGAUUCUAGUACUGGCUUGACAAUCUAGCACAUUGAUCUCCUGAGAAUGGAGCACCUUAGCACACCUAACCAUGAAGUCUGAACAUUGAGAAGGGGGUUGCCUAUUGCUGGAUGUUUUAAAGGGUUCCAGAGAAUGAUGUGCACACAGGCAGAGCCUGGCACAUUGCACAACAAGGCCCUGGACUCCAGCAGAGCAGGAAGUUUCUUCAAGUCAGGAAGCUCAAAGUGCUCUGAGGGAGGAUACACCUCAACACUCACCAUGUUUUCAAGGAAGAAGAAUCUAAUAAAGAAAUUCUGCUCUUUCCCAAACCAAGAAGAGAGUUGUCAGUUCUUCUAUUGAGGUCAGAAACCACAAGCCCGGGAUGAGCUGCCAGGCAAGAAUAGAUGCAAGGGGGAAGAAUCCAAGCACUGCAUAUCAUCCUUUGACAGAGAGAAUGGAGAAGAAAAAGCCUGGGAACCAAGAAUAAGAAAAUCACUCAAAAAUUCUGAAAUUAAGAGAGACAGGAGGAGGAUUCAUCUGGGGACACCAAGCUUCUAAAGGAGCGAGCGAAUCAUAGAAAUGAAGACUGGCAAUAGGAGAGGAACAAAAUGAUACAGAGUUCCGACCAGUCACAGUUCAGCAAAAGCAGGAAAUCCGAGGAAAUAACUUUUUCCCCCCCAUUGUUCCCUGGGAAGAUGAAAAAUGAAAUGCAUGUUAUUGCAACUUGAUAAUCUGUUCUUCUGAACAAAGGCAUUUGAUCAGACUCCGCUCCUGAAGAAGCAGGCAGCAGGUAAAUAGCAGCAGAAAGCCAACACUCCUACCUGUCACUGCCAGUGCCUGCUGUGCAGGGAAAUGCCAGCCUGCCAAGAGCCAGCUAAAACCUCAAGGUGGCAAACUACUCCUAAAGGCUGUGAAAUAUAGGAAGAAAACAGAAAUAUGAAAGGGCAUAAGCCUUGCAUUGCUGUGCUUUUGCACUCAG